rnacentral:lncRNA from 1 species
UUAAGAAAAUUGUUAGAAAAGAGACCAUUUUGAGAGAAAUGGCUGACCAGGAGAAAAGAGGGUAUGAAGGAGAGGGAAGCAAAGGCAAAGGUGGAAGCCUAAUUCCAGCAAAGAAGAAGUCAGUGAAGCAAAUGAUGGCUGAGAAAAUAAUUGAGUCUUCUUCCAAAGCUUUCAAGAAUGACAAAAAGAAGAUAAAGCCCAGAGAUGCUGAAGAUGAUGAUUAAUUAAACUUGUUCUUCUUGUUGGUAAUUAAUUUGUUUGUGUUUAGUCUUAAUCAUAUGUAUUAUUUGGUGUCAAUUGCUGCUUUAGUGUGUGAAUUUAGUUAAUUUGUUUAGUGCGUUAUAAGAAAAUUAACGCACAAAACAAUUGUACUAAAUUUAUGGAUUGAAGUUUGCAUUUCACCGAUGAAUAUUUUGUUGUGAUAUUAUAUCUUUCUAUUGGUCUCGUUGUAUUAUGGUCUGGU